GACGAAGGGGGCUAGCGUUGUUCGGAAUUACUGGGCGUAAAGCGCGUGUAGGCGGUUGUUCAAGUCAGGUGUGAAAGCCUUGAGCUCAACUCAAGAAAUGCACUUGAUACUGGAUGACUAGAGGACCGGAGAGGAUAGUGGAAUUCCCAGUGUAGUGGUGAAAUACGUAGAGAUUGGGAAGAACACCAGUGGCGAAGGCGGCUAUCUGGACCGACAUUGACGCUGAGGCGCGAAAGCGUGGGGAGCAAACAGG
rnacentral:rRNA from 1 species